GCCCGGAGCGGGAGGAGCGGGAGGAGGAGGAGGAGGAGGAAGUGGCUGCGGCGCGCUCGGCCAAUGAGUGUCUGGAGCUGUGAUUAACCAGGCAGCAACACCUCAUUUCCUCCCGGCGCGGAUCCAGGGAGCCGGGAGGGAGAGGGAAGGCGGCGGGGCGGGGCCGUCCCCGCGUCCCCUGCAGGCGCCGGGCCGGGGGCGAGCCCGCCGAGCCCCGCCGAGCCUGGCCGCGCCGUCUCCGCCGACCCCCCACCCCACUCCCGGCGCGCCGGCCACUGUCUGGCCCGGGCCAGCGGCCGGAGCAGGGAGGAGGCAGGGAGCCGGCCGCCAGCGGGCCAGGCCCGAGCCGGGCUCCCGCGGCCGGGGUGGGAGGAGGAGAGGCCGCGCGGCGCGGGUGAGUGCCCAGAUGGAAGCUGGAAGACCGAUAUCAAGGUGACAGCAAAUUUGUUUUCCAGUAAGAGCUUUCUUCCUGCCUUAUCCAUGGCCAACUUUUCAAGAAAUUAUCACAUAUGAAGAGGGAAACAAUCUGCUUGGUUCUCAUCCGGGGGACACAGAAAGGAGGGAGAAGCCAUCAUGUCUGGUCCUAUCUUCGUCAAGCCACAUGCAACUGGCAACCAACACGCUUCUCUCUGCGGGAGGAGGCUUAUCAGAGCUGGGUUCCCAAACUAAAGGGGCGACACACAGAGCAGCCUGCCUCCUGUCCAACUUGAGUGAACUCCUCGUACGGGGGUUGUCCAGAGCAUCUCCACAGGCAAGAAGCUGCAGGUGU